GAAAAAGCCUAGGGUUUCUUCACCCAAAAUAAGAAAUGAUAGAGAAGAGGUGAAGAAGAAGAAGAAUCAAGAUUUGUUUGCAAUACACUCUGUUUUCCCUAUUUUUCUAACCACUGGACGGUUGUGUUUUAACUGAUUUUCUUAAUGGUCAUUGUAACCCAGUUAAAGAUGGAAACUUUGUGAUUGUUCAAGUCAAAAAAGUGCGAGUCUUGUGUCUAUAUUUAUUGGGGAUUGCUUUUUU
rnacentral:misc_RNA from 1 species